rnacentral:sRNA from 1 species
UCCAAAAAAUGAGUUUAAGUGGUGUUUGAAAGAGAUGUAUUAUUCGUUGAAACAUAAAAACGCCACAAAGUCUCUGCAAAUUUGUAUUAUUAGUUUACUUCUGCCCGUCAUCCAUCGGUUAUUUCGGUCUUCGGGGAAACAAGAUAAUAAGUUAUAACAUAUCUUUUUCUUAUGAUAAAAAUAGUGAUUUUGCACUUUAAUGUUGAAAUGACU